rnacentral:rRNA from 1 species
CCAUUAAGUUGAGCACUCUAAUGAGACUGCCUGGGUAACCAGGAGGAAGGUGGGGAUGACGUCAAAUCAUCAUGCCCCUUAUGUCCAGGGCUACACACGUGCUACAAUGGUAGGUACAAUAAGAUGCAAGACCGUGAGGUGGAGCAAAACUUAUAAAACCUAUCUCAGUUCGGAUUGUAGGCUGCAACUCGCCUACAUGAAGCUGGAGUUGCUAGUAAUCGCGAAUCAGAAUGUCGCGGUGAAUACGUUCCC